rnacentral:lncRNA from 1 species
AGUGAUUGUUUGAUAAAUUGAGGCAAGUGGAUUUCUAAACUCUUGUUAAGCGUACGAAAUUCGUGUAUUUCCUUGUGUGAUGUUGAGAAUGAUUUGGAGACUUGAUGUUUAUUUGUUGGUGUUGCAUUUCUUGUUGUAAAUUGUGCUUUGAUAUCAAAUGGUUAUCUCUUACUUUUCAUUUGAGCAUGUUAUUUGCAUUGUAUCUGAGACAUGGUUGUGGUAAGAGGAUGAUGUACUAUUUUCAAGGGUCGUAUCGCGCGCCACGAUGGAUAUUAUAUUUCAAGGGACAUAUCGCACGCCGUGAAGGUUACUAUUAAUUGAGCGUCGUGUCGUGCGCCGCGACAGAUGCAUGGACAGAUAUGUCCCCCAUGGGUCCCGGACUGAGAGACAGCGGGUGUGUAUCGUUAGUGAAGACAUGCAUCACUAUACAUGACAUUGCAUCUUAUGGCAUUACACAUUUGAUUAUUGAUGAACUUGAACACGUGUUUUGUUGAUCUUGUGAGUGCUUCUCUGUGAAGCUUGUGACUGUUGAAUAUUGAGUUGUUAUUGAGAAUGUGUAAACUGAUAGAGUGUGGUUAUUGAGUUGUGUGUUUGGUAAACUGUAAACUAUUAGACUGUUGCGCAGAGGUUUAGAUAUGGUGUAAGAAGUGCCCGUAUUUUGUUCACUUAACUUGUGUUUAGAGGUUUGCUUGUUGGGUACCGCGUGGUUUGGUACUCACCCCUUGCUUCUACAAAUUUUUGUAGGAUACGAGCCUGGAUCUUCGUGAUACCUGUCAUUCUUUUCGUUUCCGAGGCAUCUUGUGGAGGAUUGUGAGGUAGCUGCUUGUCAUCUCUGCGAACUUUCCUACUCCAGUUUAUGACUUUGUUUUUACUUGAAAGACAACUUCAUUUAGACUUCUAUUUUAUUUCAAUUCUAAUAUUUACAUUAGAGGCUUGUGCACGUGACAACAUGAUUUUGGGGAUUGGAUUAAUAUGACUUGGUUUCAUAAUAGGAAUUGUUGUUGGAUUGUCAUUUACUUCUGCACUUUGUUAGAUAUUUGGUUUUAGGCUGACUUGUCUUGGUGGGAUAAGACGAUUGCCAUCACACCCAUUUUUGGGUCGUGACAAAAUGGUAUUAGAGCCCCAGGUUUAUAGGUCUCACGUAUAUACAAGCCGAGUCUACGUAGAGUCUCAAGGAUCAGUACGGAGACGUCUGUACUUAUCACUGAGAGGCUACGAGGAUUACUAGGAAACUUUUUUUUGUUCAUUCUUUCUCAUCGUGCGUAGCCACCUUCUUUAGUACUGAGUUGUUGUAUACUCUUUUGACAGAUGACGAGGACUAGAACUAAUGUUACUGGUGGUAGAGGGGAGGCACUUCCCGAGGUAGUUGUUGAGGCCCCAGCUAGAGGUAGGGGUAGAUCUCGAGCUAGAGGUCGUGCUAGUAGUACGACAGUAGCAAGAGGUCGUGGACGUGGAGCAGCACCAUUGAGAGGUAGUGCUAGAGAGGUCUCUUCCGAACCUUAGAUUGAUGACAGAGAGGAUCAGGUUCCUCCUGAUCCCGUAGUCACACCUUUGCUUCAGGAUACGCUAUUGAGGGUGUUAAGUGUGCUAGAAGGCUUUUCUCAGAGUGGUGGUGCAACUACCACACCACAUGACUCUCGUACUAGAGAGGGGGCUCAGACCUAAGAGCAGCAACAAGCUCCGGUUGCUCAGGAUGCGGUGGGCAACUACCAGUAGAUCCCGCGGUACAUAAUGAUAUUGCACCAGCAGUUGGGGGUCAAGUUGCAUCGAUGGCUGUUCUGACAGAGGAUGAAUAGCGUAGGUAUGAGAGAUUUCGAAAGAUGGACCCACCUCAGUUUCAGGGUGGGAAGAGCGAGGACUCUCAUGAGUUUCUAACUACCUGCCGAGAGUUACUAGAGGUGGUUGGAUUGGCUGAGUCUCAUGGGGUUCGAUAUGAUACACUCCAGCUUCGUGGACUAGCGAGAGACUGGUGGAGGACUUAUUCGGGAUGUUUGCCAGUUGGAUCUCCUCCAGUGACUUGGGAGCAGUUUGCUAGCGCAUUCCAAGAUCGUUUUAUCCCAUGGAGCAUGAGAGAGGAGAGUCGCUUGAGGUUUGAGAGUCUGAGACAGGAUGGUUUAUCGGUUACAGAGUAUGAAGUGCGUUUUUGCCAGUUGUUUAGGCAUGCGUUGGCCAUUAUUCCAAAUGAGACAUAGAGGAUCCGCAGAUUUGUGAGGGAUUGACUUUCUCUAUCAGGUCAGCUAUGUUUCGGGCAUCUAGGGAGGGGGCUUCUUUCCAGUCCAUUGUGAGCGCCGCAAAAGAGGCAGAAUUGAUGGAGAGAGAGGAGUUUGGGGACCCUAAAAGAGCUCGUAUAUCAGGCCAGUUUCAGGGUGCCUCAUCUGGAGGUAGGGGAUCACAGAGAGUGAGUGGUUCCUUUCAGCAGCGGGGACCUAUUCAUGCAUCUAUGCCGACAUUUGAGGGUGGCCAGACAUCUAGGGGUUCUUAUAGCUCGGGUCAGAGCGCGUAUGAUUCACAGCAGCGACCUAUAGGGCGAGGAAAUUAUAGUGGGUUUUCAGGGUCCACAUAACAGUUCUCAGGUCAGAGAUUUUGUUUUACUUGUGGAGAUCCCGAUCAUCUAAUGCGGCAGUGUACUUCACAAAGGGGUCGUGGUGGGCCUCGACCUAAUUCUUCACUCCAGACCAGACCACCAACACCACAGGGUAGAGGUCGUGGCAGAGUUCAGUCAGGUAGAGGUUAUAGAGUUUCUAGUAGUGGUGUUGCAGCUCAACAGAGUGGGGGUAGAGGUACCACCCAGGAUAGAGGUGGACGAGGAGGCCACUGCUAUGCUUUCCCCGGGAGACCUGAGGCAGAGACCUCCGAUGCUGUUAUUACAGGUAUCAUCCCAGUAUGCCAUCGACCUGCGUCUGUUUUGUUUGAUCCAGGUUCUACAUUCUCUUAUAUGUCUAUGUAUUUUGCUGCUAAAUUUGAUAUGAUUUGUGAUAGCAUGACUGUACCUAUUCGUGUUUCUACACUCGUGGGUAAGCCCUUAGUGGUGGAUCGAAUGUAUCGAUCCUGUCUUGUUUCUUUGGCUGGGUAUGACACUUGGGUAGACUUAAUCAUUCUAGGGAUGGUGGACUUUGAUGUUAUCUUGGGUAUGGAUUGGCUUUCUCGUUAUCAUGUUGUCCUUAAUUGUAAUGCUAAGACUGUGAUUUUAGCAAUGCCUGGUGUUCCGAGGGUUGAGUGGAAGAGUGUUAGUGGUUCUUAUCCUAGCAAGGUCAUCUCUUUUAUCCGUGCUAUGAGAUUGGUGGAGAGGGGGUGUUUGUCUUACUUAGAUUUUAUUCGGGAUACUAGUGUUGAACCACCUCCCAUGGACUCUGUUCCCGUGGUUCAUGAGUUUCCCUUCCAGGUGUUCCUCCUGAUAGGGAUAUCGAUUUUGCUAUUGAUUUGGAGCCGGGCACUAAGCCUAUUUCUAUACCUCCAUAUCGUAUGGCCCCAACAGAGUUGAAAGAAUUGAAGGAUCAGUUGCAAGAUUUAUUGAGUAAGGUUUUUAUUCACCCUAGUGUAUCACCUUGGGGUGCCCCUGUAUUGUUUGUGAAGAAGAAGGAUGGGACUAUGAGAAUGUGUAUUGAUUACAGACAGUUGAACAAGGUAAAAGUUAAGAAUAAGUAUCCUCUUCCGCGUAUUGAUGACUUAUUUGAUCAGUUACAAGGAGCAUCAUUGUUCUCUAAGAUUGAUUUGAGGUCUGGGUAUCAUCAGUUGAAGAUUAGGGCAUCAGAUAUCCCUAAGACAGCUUUUCGGACCCGGUAUGGGCAUUAUGAGUUUCUAGUGAUGUCCUUUGGAUUGACUAAUGCCCCUGCAGCAUUCAUGGAGUUGAUGAAUGGGGUGUUUCGACCAUACCUUGAUUCUUUUGUGAUUGUUUUCAUCGAUGACAUCUUGGUUUACUCUAAGACUGAGGAGGACCAUGUCCAACACCUGAGGAUUGUACUUCAUAGGUUGAGAGAAGAGAAGUUGUAUGCCAAGUUCUCAAAGUGUGAGUUCUCGCUUACUUUUGUGACAUUCUUGGGACACGUGGUGUCCAAGGAGGGUAUUAGAGUAGAUCCGGCCAAGAUUGAGGCAGUUAGAGGCUGCACGCGACCUACUUCACCUACUGAGAUUAGGAGUUUUGUGGGAUUGGCAGGCUAUUAUCGAUGAUUUGUUCAGAGUUUCCCUACUAUUGCAACUCCAUUAACUAGAUUGACUAGACAGGAUGUGCGUUUUCAGUGGUAUGACGAGUGUGAGCAGAGCUUUCAAAAACUCAAGACUUUAUUGACUUCAGCUCCUGUGUUGACUCUACCUGAGGAGGGUGUAGACUUUACAGUGUAUUGUGAUGUUUUAGGAGUUGGUUUGGGUUGUGUGUUGAUGCAGAAGGGGAAAGUGAUUGCUUAUGCUUCUAGGCAAUUGAAAUCCCAUGAGAAGAACUACCCUACUCAUGAUUUGGAGUUGGCGGCUGUGGUAUUUGUACUUAAGUUAUGGCGUCAUUAUUUGUAUGGGGUGCAUUGUGAGAUCUUCACUGAUCAUCGGAGUCUUCAGUAUAUCUUUAGCCAGAGGGAUUGGAACUUGAGGCAAACGGAGAUGGCUUGAGUUGCUAAAGGACUAUGAUGUGACCAUUCUAUAUCAUCCAAGAAAGGCCAAUGUUGUGGCCGAUGCUCUGUGUAAGAAGACGCCGAUUGGGAGCCUUGCAACGCUUAGUAUUGAGGAUAGACCAUUGGCUAGAGAUGUGCAGAUAUUAGCUAACAGUCUUGUCCGCUUGCAGAUUUCAGAAGAGAGUGAUGGGAUGAUUGCUUUUAUUGAGGCUCGGUCUUCUUUAGUCGAGAAAAUUCGUGCACACCAGUUUGAUGAUGAAAAAUUAUGUCUCAUUCGAGACAAAGUAUUGAGAGGGGAAGCUAAGGAGGUUGUCCUUGAUUCUGAUGGUGUCUUGCGGAUCGGAGGCAGAAUUUGUGUGCCCAGGACAGGCGAUUUGAUUAGAUUGAUUCUUGAGGAGGCCCAUUGUUCUCGGUAUUCCAUCCAUCCGGGAGCGGCGAAGAUGUAUCAUGAUCUGAGUCAGCAUUACUGGUGGUGUGGGAUGAAGAGAGAUAUUUCAGACUUUGUUUCGAGGUGUUUGACUUGCCAGCAGGUCAAGUGUGAGCACCAGCGGCCCGGGGGUGUAUCUCAGAGGAUGCCUAUUCCUACUUGGAAGUGGGAGCGGAUUACUAUGGACUUUGUUGUGGGUUUGCCUACCACAGUGGGUGGUUAUGACUCUAUUUGGGUUAUUGUUGAUAGGCUGACCAAGUCUGCCCACUUCAUUCCGGUUCGGGUGAUGUAUACGGCAGAAAAGUUAGCCGAGCUAUAUAUUAGUCAGAUUGUGCGACUACAUGGAGUUCCAAUUUCUAUCAUAUCAGAUCGGGGUUCACUAUUUACUUCCCAUUUCUUGAAGGCAUUACAACAUGGUCUGGGUACCCAGUUAGAUAUGAGUACGGCAUUUCGCCCUCAGACAGAUGGUCAAUCUUAGCGGACCAUUCAGGUAUUGGAAGAUAUGCUUCGAGCGUGUGUGAUCGAUUUUGGUGCAAGAUGUGAUCGACAUUUACCCUUAGCGGAGUUUGCCUAUAAUAACAGUUAUCACUCUAGUAUUCAAAUGGCCCCAUUUGAGGCAUUGUAUGGUAGACGGUGUAGAUCUCCGAUUGGUUGGUUUGAUUAGGCGGAGAUGGACUCAUUGGAUACAGAUUUGCUUAGAGAUGCUAUGGAACAAGUUCAUGUGAUUCAGUAUAGACUGUUGAUAGCCCAGAGUUGACAGAAGAGUUAUGCAGACCGAAGAGUUAGAGCCUUAGUGUUUAUGGAGGGUGAUCAUGUUUGGCUCCGAGUAUCACCCUUGAAGGGCGUGAUGAGGUAUGGAAAGAAGGGAAAGCUUAGCCCUAGGUUCAUUGGACCUUUUGAGAUUUUGAGCCGAGUGGGAGAAGUGGCUUAUAAGUUGGCGUUGCCACCUAGUUUGUCAGAAGCUCAUCCUGUUUUCCAUGUCUCUAUGCUUCGGAAGUAUAUUCCGGAUGAAUCUCAUGUGAUUUCACUCGAUUCUGUGGAGCUGGGUCCAGACUUGACAUUUGAGGAGGAGCCUAUAGCUAUUUUGGAUAGGUGAAUUCGAAAGCUUAGGACCAAAGAGAUUGCUUCAGUGAAGGUGCAAUGGAAGCACCGAUCAGUGAGAGAGGCAACUUGGGAAACUGAGUCUGACAUGCGUGCCAGAUAUCCUCAACUUUUUGAAGCUUCAGGUACUUUCUUUUCCUUUUAUUUUCGAGGACAAACAUGAUUUUUAGUGGUGGAUAAUGUAAUAAUCCGAAAGAUCCUCUUUAGAAUUUUUGAAUAUUUGUUUAACUUAAGUUAAUUAGUCGAUAGUUAAUGGACUAAAGUGAAUAUUUAAUAAGAUCCUAUACUAUUUGACCCUUAUAUAAUAAAAUAAGUGAGUAAAAUUUAUCACUUUUAGCACUAAUUAAAUCUGAAAAUAAAUUUAAAAAAAAAAGAAAAGAAGAAGAAACGGAACAAGGGUUACAGAAUCUACCUGUGAGUGGCGGCUGGCGUUGCUUCAUUCUCGUCCAGGUAAAGAGCAAACUGCAAAGCAUGCUAACAAUAAUAUAUAUUAGUUUAUUAGAAUUGUCAUGUUUUGAAAUUGAAAGGAGUGACUUUUAAUUGCAUAUAAAUAUGCAAAUUGGCACAUCUGUAGUACCGUUUUUCAAUAUACUUGGAAAAAAUAAUGGUUGCCUUUCAUUUUGUUGACCAUGAUGAGUGCCCUUUAUAUAUAUAUAUAUAUAUUUUAUAAUAAUUUCUUACCAACAAUUAAUGAUAACAAUGGGAGAAAUAUUAUUUUCAUAAUUAAUAACUAAAACAUAAAUAUCCUAUAACUAGGUCGGUAAGUAUUAUUUUGUAAUUGUUAAUUGGGCAGAAACCAAAUGUAUUGAUAAUGAUGUACGUGUUUGAAAGAAGGUUUAAACUUUGAAACAAAAGGAAAAUAUAUUAUAAUUAUAAGAAGUAAUGUUCUGGUUAUUCUUUUUCUUUUCAAAUGAAUUUGAUAAUCCUAUUCUGAUAUAAUUACCAUAGCUUCGAUACAAUAUUAUAUGUAAUUCAAUUAAGUGUAUUAUACUAUAGCAAAACUAUUAAGAUGGUAGUUUUUGAAGAAAUUAUGACUUAACUCUAUAUUUAAACUUAGAAAGUAAAAGAUCUAACCUAUUGAUUGGAAUCAAAAAUUUAGGAAAUUUAUUAUACCUUUGAUUGAGUUUUGGGUCGAUGUUUUACAUGUGAGUGUUGUUAGUGUCGAAAUCUUAUUAUGAUUAUCUAUUUGAAUAGAUUGCCUUGAGUCGGAAGUUCAACAAAAGGGGAAGGAUAAAGUCCCGAAGUGAUUGUUUGAUAAAUUGAGGCAAGUGGAUUUCUAAACUCUUGUUAAGCGUACGAAAUUCGUGUAUUUCUUUGUGUGAUGUUGAGAAUGAUUUGGAGACUUGAUGUUUAUUUGUUGGUGUUGUAUUUCUUGUUGUAAAUUGUGCUUUGAUAUCAAAUGGUUAUCUCCUCCUUUUCAUUUGAACAUGUCAUUUGCAUUGUAUCAGAGACAAAGUUGUGGUAAGAGGAUGAUGUACUAUUUUCGAGGGUCGUAUCGCGCGCCGCGAUGGAUAUUAUAUUUCGAGGGAUGUAUCGCGCGCCGCGAAGGUUACUAUUUAUCGAGGGUUGUGUCGUGCGCCGCGACAGAUGCAUGGACAGAUAUGUCCCCCAUGUUUCCCGGACUGAGAGACAGCGGGUGUGUAUCGUUAGGGAUGACAUGCAUCACUAUACUUGACAUUGCAUCUUAUGGCAUUACACAUUUGAUUAUUGAUGAACUUGAACACGUGUUUUGUUGAUCUUGUGAGUGUUUCUCUGUGAAGCUUGUGACUGUUGAAUAUUGAGUUGUUAUUGAGAAUGUGUAAACUGAUAGAGUGUGGUUAUUGAGUUGUGUGUUUGGUAAACUGUAAACUAUUAGGCUGUUGCGCAGAGGUUUAGAUAUGGUGUAAGAAGUGCCCGUAUUUUGUUCACAUAACUUGUGUUUAGAGGUUUGCUUGUUGGGUACCGCGUGGUUUGGUACUCACCCCUUGCUUCUACAAAUUUUUGUAGGAUACGAGCCUGGAUCUUCGUGAUACCUGUCACUCUUUUCGUUU